CCACAUAGAUAAUUACAUUCAGGGUGCAGUCUUGGCUAUGUUUUCUCUUGGAGCUUGCAAGGUGAAGUCUCUUUGACCAUAAUUAAGAAGGAUUGGCAAUAAAGCAAGACAAUGCAAGUUGGAAUCCACCAAGAUGAAUGCAGAGCAUUAGCCCUGAAUAACAAAAACAAGUACUGGUGCAUACAGAUUUUUUUAAGAAAAUGCCUAAAUAAUGUAAUAUCAAUUCCAGCAGUAACCAAUAAUGCCAGCCUUGUGGGAUAUCAUUGCUACCAUCUGUGGGUAAGAGAUAAGAAACGAGAAAUAGAUAUUGUGGUUAUCAUGGACAACUUAGGCAUUUUCUGUUCCUAUCAGUUUCUCAUGUAUUCAAUUGUUAUUUAUUACUUUGCUCUGUGAAAUAGCUGCAUCAGUUUGUGAUGCAAAGAUCCUUAAAUGGUACACAUAAACACACAUAUAUUAACACAGAUGGCUCAAACACAUAUAUUUCAUGCAUUUUCCCCCAAUAAAUGCAUUUACAUAACCUCCAGCUGACCUGAUUUCACAAUGACAGACCCAGUUGAUCCUGUCAUUCCACAUCUUCAGCUGCUUUAAAAGUGUCACCGGUUCUCUAUCUUUUUCUUACUUUUCCCUAUGUCCUUCGCUAACAUCAAUUGCUGCAAACUCAGCUAAAAGUGGAAAAGGGGAAGCUCUUGAUUAGACUCUUGAGUUUUAGUGUUCUUGCAGAGUUCAUUAGGAAAAAAGGACUCAAGGUGCAAUUACAUUGUAGAAUUAAUGCAUUUUGGCACCACUUUAAUUGUGACGGCUCAAUGCUAUAGAGUCAUGAGAGAUGUAAUUUUUAAAAGUCUGUAGCCUUCUCUGCCAACAAAUAUGGGUGCCUCACCAAACAACAACUCCCAGAAUUACACAGCAUUGAGACUGCAAUCCGGGAAACCAGCUUGAAAGCAUCUGGGUUGGAAUCAAGGGAACCAGGACACAAAAAGAUCUUGUUGUGGGUGUCUACUACAGACCUCCGAGCCAGGAUGAAGGACUUGGAGAAGCCUUCUGUCAACAGUUGACCAAACAGGCACAAAGAAGAGAUAUAGUAGUCAUGGGCAAUUUCAACUAUCCUGAUAUCUGCUGGAAAACAAACCCAGCCAAGAGUACAAAGUCCAACUAAUUCUUCGCUUGCCUUGCAGACAAUUUUAUGGUCCAGAAGGUAGAAGAGGCAACAAGGGGAUUGGCUACUCUUGAUCUCAUCUUAACAAAUGUGGAAGAUCUGAUCAAUGCAGUCAAAGUGGUUGGAUCCUUAGGGGCAAGUGACCAUGUGCUCCUGCAGUUCGCCAUACAAAGGAAGGUUGAAACUAAGACAAAUCAAACACGCAUUCUGGACUUUAAGAGAGCUGACUUCCAAAAAAUGAAGAAAAUACUGAGCGGCAUUCCAUGGAUGCCAAUACUAAAAGACAAGAGAGUUAAGGAUGGAUGGGAGUUUUUCAAAAGUGAAAUAACCAAGGUGCAAAUUCAAACAGUGCCAACAAAGGAAAAAAAUAAGACAAGUGCGAAGAAGCCAGAAUGGAUGUCCAAAGAAUUUCUUACCAGGCUAAGACUCAAAAGAGACAUGCACAAGAGACAUUCUACACAUCUACAGAGACAUUGCCUAGGGGAUGCCCGUAUGUGUCACCAUCCUGUUGGGAGGCUUCUCUCAUGUCCCCGCAUGCUAGAGCUGACAGAUGGAAGCUCACACCGUCUCAUGGAUUCAAAUCGGCAGCCUUCAAGUCUGCAACCCAACUUUCAGGACUUCCAUCUGGGGAUCACUUAUAUUGAAGAUGGAUCAAGCUUGUAUUCUGCUGCUGCAAAGACUAGGGCAUGAAACAAAGGAGUCAAACUAUGAAGAAACACAUUUUACAUACAAAACAAUGAAGCUGCAAUCCAAAACACAGUUUCUGGGGUUCAGUUGCAUUCAGUAAGACUGCCUGCUGAGUAGAUGUAUUCUGCUGCUGAUAUACUACAAAUGUAUGCCACUGAAGAAGAACAUCGGGGGGGCCAAAGGGCAAGGGCCCUGUGAAGAAAGUUCCUGCAAAACGCCCUCCUUCCUCAAGUGCUCCGGCAGUCGAGGAAGAAGACUCAGCCCAAUUGUUGAAAGCGCUGGUCGCUCGCAUCGAGUCGCUGGAAAGAGAGAAAGCAGCGGCUGCUGCUUCGGGAGCGCAGAUUGGUGGGGGCAGUAACACUGUGCUAAUAACGUCCGUAUUUUCCUGUAUUUCUGCCUUAGAAGGGGAGAAGCGAGCCCUGGUGCCUGUCAAUGAUGAGAGCCUGGUUGCAUCAACGCCGGUGGCCACAGGAGCUGUUCCACCUUCUUCAGAGGCAGCUGUUGAGUCAGGAAGCGCUGCGACUAUUUUAGAACCUGUUCUGUUGGCAAAUAGACGUCGCAUCCUGAUUUGUGGGCACAGCUACGUACACUGAGCUGAGCGACAGGCGCACAGGGGUCCCUAUGGCCAACUUCGCAGCCUCGCUUCCAUGGCAUUCGUGGAGAGGAGGGGAGGAAGAGGCCUUUUUGUGCUGUUAAUGAUUUGGGUCUGCCAAUGGGCAGGGGCCUGUUUUAUACAAGUUUAUGAAUUAUUUGUACAGGUUCAAUUGGCAUGCACAAGGUAAAGGAAUGUUUUUCCCUCUUACACGCUUGUCAUGGCUAUGUUUUUACAGAUUCGAUUGGCAGGCACAAGCUAAAGGAGUGUGUUCCCUCUAACACGCUUGUCAUGGCCCUAUUUGUACAGGUUCGAUUGGCAUGCACAAGGUAAAGGAGUGUGUUCCCUCUACCACGCUUGUCAUGGCCAUGUUUGUACAAUUUUUGAAUGACAUGCACAAGCUUUGAGAGGUUUGGCCUCGAACUGGCUUAGCAUGGUCAGCAAUCAUUCCUAGGCCAAUCAGGCCCUUCGAAAAGUUUUAAAGAAUGGCAUAGGUUAUUGUAUCCCUCAUGACACCAUUAAGUUCAAUGAUGCGAAUUUGUAUCGGGCUGAUGGGAUCCAUCUGUCCGAACUGGGCAACCAAAUUUUCUUAGCUGACCUGCGAUAAGGGAUUAGGGAAAUACUUUCGAAUUUGGUGGGGGUCAGGAGCUAAAUAGACAUUUGCUCGUGAACUGUGGCGGAAUGCUUAGGGGAAUCUCUUAUUUUGGUGUGCACCACAAGGCACCUCUGUUUUGGUGUUGGCCAGAGGCGUGAAUCCUCGCUUAGGGUUUGUACAGCCCCGGCGAGGGUGAACGAUUAUGGCCUUGGAAUGGGAGACUUUGACCUCAUUUGUUUCGGAGGCAAAACUCUCCAACACAUUCCCCUUUAGGUCAUCCAGGUUUAGAUAGACUGGGGACCUGGUGUUUCUCCCUAAAUUCAGUCUUAAUGGAUGGUCGGGUAUGACCACUAAUAUCGGCUUAUGCCUUACCAAAUUCUUAGAUGGCUAAGGAUUUUUGGCCCUAGUUACAAAUUAAAGUUAAAUAGGUAACUAUCAAUAAAGUUGCCCAGUUUUAAACCCAAGCUUACUUGUCUUGUCUCGUUAUUUUGGAGGGUUGGAGGGCAAGAAACUUCCCCCCACUGCGCAGCUGGGGGAGGGAAGUGGAUUUGCCCCCUCCCAACGAAGGAGAGACUUCUAGAAGGGGGCGGGGCUUAUAGGAAGCUGCCCGCCUCUUAGAUCACUCACUUUUGGAGCUUCGACCCACCCGCCCGCCCCUAACAGUAUAGCAGUAGUGUGGUCGCUUAUAUGGGCCGGGUAGGAAUUUUUUCCCUCCCAUGUUCUGGGAGGGUUUUUUGCCUACCCUAUACUGUGUGGAGUGGUAAAUUGGGAGGUGUGGUCAUUUAAUUAGGUGGUCAGCGGAAUGCUUAGGGGAAUCUCUUAUUUUGGUGUGCACCACAAGGCACCUCUGUUUUGGUGUUGGCCAGAGGCGUGAAUCCUCGCUUAGGGUUUGUACAGCCCCGGCGAGGGUGAACAAUUAUGGCCUUGGAAUGGGAGACUUUGACCUCAUUUGUUUCGGAGGCAAAACUCUCCAACACAUUCCCCUUUAGGUCAUCCAGGUUUAGAUAGACUGGGGACCUGGUGUUUCGCCCUAAAUUCAGUCUUAAUGGAUGGUUGGGUAUGACCACUAAUAUCGGCUUAUGCCUUACCAAAUUCUUAGAUGGCUAAGGAUUUUUGGCCCUAGUUACAAAUUAAAGUUAAAUAAGUAACUAUCAAUAAAGUUGCCCAGUUUUAAACCCAA